GACGAACGCUGGCGGCGUGCUUAACACAUGCAAGUCGAACGGAAAGGCCCUGCUUUUGUGGGGUGCUCGAGUGGCGAACGGGUGAGUAACACGUGAGUAACCUGCCCUUGACUUUGGGAUAACUUCAGGAAACUGGGGCUAAUACCGGAUAGGAGCUCCUGCUGCAUGGCGGGGGUUGGAAAGUUUCGGCGGUUGGGGAUGGACUCGCGGCUUAUCAGCUUGUUGGUGGGGUAGUGGCUUACCAAGGCUUUGACGGGUAGCCGGCCUGAGAGGGUGACCGGCCACAUUGGGACUGAGAUACGGCCCAGACUCCUACGGGAGGCAGCAGUGGGGAAUAUUGCACAAUGGGCGGAAGCCUGAUGCAGCAACGCCGCGUGCGGGAUGACGGCCUUCGGGUUGUAAACCGCUUUCGCCUGUGACGAAGCGUGAGUGACGGUAAUGGGUAAAGAAGCAGCGGCUAACUACGUG
rnacentral:rRNA from 1 species